rfam:Sphingomonas sp. SKA58 scf_1100007010440 genomic scaffold, whole genome shotgun sequence.
AAGCGUGAGGUAAGGGCAUCUGGUGAAUGCCUUGGCAUGUACAGGCGAUGAAGGACGUGGCACGCUGCGAUAAGCGUGGGGGAGCUGUGAGCAAGCUUUGAUCCCGCGAUUUCCGAAUGGGACAACCCACCUUCACCAUUUAAGACUGGUCCAGCCUUCUGGCUGGCCCCGUGUUAAAUGGGAGAGGUAUCACUAAGCUGAAUAAAAUAGGCUUUGGUGAAGCGAACCCGGAGAACUGAAACAUCUCAGUACCCGGAGGAAAAGACAUCAACCGAGAUUCCGUUAGUAGUGGCGAGCGAACGCGGACCAGGCCAGCGCCUGAUAUUUAGUUAGCAGAACGAUCUGGAAAGUUCGGCCAUAGCGGGUGACAGCCCCGUAUGUGAAAGCGAAAUAUCAGGACUUGAGUAGGGCGGAGCACGUGAAACUCUGUCUGAACAUGGGGGGACCACCCUCCAAGCCUAAAUACUCGUACAUGACCGAUAGCGAACCAGUACCGUGAGGGAAAGGUGAAAAGCACCCCGAUGAGGGGAGUGAAACAGUACCUGAAACCGGAUGCCUACAAGCAGUGGGAGGGUCCUUGAGACCUGACCGCGUACCUCUUGCAUAAUGGGUCUGUGACUUAGUGUAUCAUGCAAGCUUAAGCCGUUAGGUGUAGGCGCAGCGAAAGCGAGUCUGAAUAGGGCGCCCAUGAGUAUGAUGCAUUAGACCCGAAACCCGGCGAUCUAGGCAUGACCAGGCUGAAGGUGCGGUAACACGCACUGGAGGGCCGAACCGUUUAAUGUUGAAAAAUUAUCGGAUGAGUUGUGUUUAGGGGUGAAAGGCCAAUCAAGCCGGGAAAUAGCUGGUUCUCCGCGAAAUCUAUUGAGGUAGAGCGUCGGAUGAUUGCCGUUGGGGGUAGAGCACUGGAUGGAUGCGGGGGUCGCGAGAUCUACCAAUUCUAACCAAACUCCGAAUACCAACGAGUCUAGUCCGGCAGACAGACGGCGGGUGCUAAGGUCCGUCGUCAAAAGGGAAACAGCCCUAACCUACAGCUAAGGUCCCCAAGUCACGUCUAAGUGGGAAAGCAUGUGGGAUUUCCAAAACAACCAGGAGGUUGGCUUAGAAGCAGCCAUCCUUUAAAGAAAGCGUAACAGCUCACUGGUCUAAAUAAGAGAUCCUGCGGCGAAGAUGUAACGGGGCUCAAGACGUGCACCGAAGCUUAGGGUUCAGUCCUUUGGACUGAGCGGUAGCGGAGCGUUCCGUAGGCCGUUGAAGCGGGAGGGUAACCGACCGUGGAGGUAUCGGAAGUGCGAAUGCAGACAUGAGUAGCGAUUAAGAGGGUGAGAUGCCCUCUCGCCGAAAUUCCAAGGGUUCCUGCUUAAAGCUAAUCUGAGCAGGGUAAGCCGGCCCCUAAGACGAGCCCGAAGGGGGUAGUCGAUGGGAACCACGUUAAUAUUCGUGGGCCUGGUGGUGUGUGACGGAUGGCGUAACUUGUUCGGCCUUAUUGGAUUGGUCCGGGCAGGGAAGUUGUCCCAGGAAAUAGCCCCACCGUAUAGACCGUACCCUAAACCGACACAGGUGGAAUGGUAGAGUAUACCAAGGCGUUUGAGAGAAGUAUCCUGAAGGAACUCGGCAAAUUGCCUCCGUACCUUCGGAAGAAGGAGGCCCCACAUAAGCGCAAGCUCUUGUGGGGGGCACAGGCCAGGGGGUAGCGACUGUUUAGCAAAAACACAGGGCUCUGCUAAGUCGGCUUCAAGACGACGUAUAGGGCCUGACGCCUGCCCGGUGCCUGAAGGUUAAGAGGAGGAGUGCAAGCUCUGAUUGAGCCCAGGUAAACGGCGGCCGUAACUAUAACGGUCCUAAGGUAGCGAAAUUCCUUGUCGGGUAAGUUCCGACCUGCACGAAUGGCGUAACGACUUCCCCACUGUCUCCAGGAUAUGCUCAGCGAAAUUGAAUUCUCCGUGAAGAUGCGGAGUACCCGCGGUUAGACGGAAAGACCCCGUGCACCUUUACUGCAGCUUCAGAGUGGCAUUAGGAAAGAACUGUGUAGCAUAGGUGGGAGGCUUUGAAGCGAUGACGCCAGUUGUCGUGGAGCCAUAGGUGAAAUACCACCCUGUUGUUUUCUGAUGUCUAACCUCGCACCGUUAUCCGGUGCAGGGACCCUCUGUGGCGGGUAGUUUGACUGGGGCGGUCGCCUCCUAAAGAGUAACGGAGGCGCGCGAUGGUGGGCUCAGGACGGUUGGAAACCGUCUGUUAGAGUGCAAUGGCAUAAGCCCGCCUGACUGCGAGACUGACAAGUCGAGCAGAGACGAAAGUCGGUCAUAGUGAUCCGGUGGUCCCUCGUGGAAGGGCCAUCGCUCAACGGAUAAAAGGUACGCCGGGGAUAACAGGCUGAUGAUUCCCAAGAGCUCAUAUCGACGGAAUCGUUUGGCACCUCGAUGUCGGCUCAUCACAUCCUGGGGCUGGAGCAGGUCCCAAGGGUUUGGCUGUUCGCCAAUUAAAGUGGUACGUGAGCUGGGUUCAGAACGUCGCGAGACAGUUUGGUCCCUAUCUGCCGUGGGCGUCGAAAUUUGAGAGGAGUUGACCCUAGUACGAGAGGACCGGGUUGAACAUACCUCUGGUGUACCUGUCGUCGUGCCAACGGCGCAGCAGGGUAGCUAUGUAUGGACGGGAUAACCGCUGAAAGCAUCUAAGCGGGAAGCCUCCCUCAAGAUAAGAUUUCAUCGAGCCGUGAUAGACCAUCACGUUGAUAGGCCGGAUGUGGAAGUGCGGUAACGCAUGGAGCUAACCGGUCCUAAUUGCUCUGUUCGCGCUUAA